AGCGAACGCUGGCGGCAGGCCUAACACAUGCCAGUCGAGCGGACCUUUCGGGGUCAGCGGCGGACGGGUGAGUAACGCGUGGGAACGUGCCUUCCGGUUCGGAAUAACCCUGGGAAACUAGGGCUAAUACCGGAUACGCCCUUAUGGGGAAAGGUUUACUGCCGGAAGAUCGGCCCGCGUCUGAUUAGCUAGUUGGUGGGGUAACGGCCUACCAAGGCGACGAUCAGUAGCUGGUCUGAGAGGAUGAUCAGCCACACUGGGACUGAGACACGGCCCAGACUCCUACGGGAGGCAGCAGUGGGGAAUAUUGGACAAUGGGCGCAAGCCUGAUCCAGCCAUGCCGCGUGAGUGAUGAAGGCCUUAGGGUUGUAAAGCUCUUUUAUCCGGGACGAUAAUGACGGUACCGGAGGAAUAAGCCCCGGCUAACUUCGUG
rnacentral:rRNA from 1 species